rnacentral:tRNA from 1 species
UGCGGUCGUAGCUCAGUUGGAUAGAGCAUCAGCCUUCUAAGCUGAGGGUCGGUGGUUCGAAUCCACCCGGGCGCAU